rnacentral:rRNA from 1 species
AUGAUUUCCUCCAUUCAUUUGACUAAACAUUUUGUUGUUCAUUCUGCCUCGGCACUUGAAAUUGACUUGGAUGAUUUGGUGGUCGAUUUCCUUGUACUGUCAAUCCACUUGCAUAUAACUAAUUGUUCUUGUACGACAAGUUUGGAUGGUUCUUCCAAGAAGGAUCGUAGCUAUUUGAGAAUGGACAUUUACUUUUGGCAUAACUCACUUCUGAAACCGAUGAUCCAAUUGCUGAAUAAAAGGUACAUUCUCCUAAAGGAUGGCCUGCUUGGCCACAUACAUCACACAUUUGAGGCACACUUACUGAAGCUACAGAUGUACCGAUGCAAUUUGACAUGA